UUCAGGAUGGAGCAACAUAGCAGCUCGUCGGGCUCAACUCUUAUUAACUGCAGGCGAAGGUCGUAGGUUCAAAUCCUGCUCCCGCAACCA
rnacentral:tRNA from 1 species